UGUGUCUGCGUUUCACACAGGGUCCAGGUCCUCUGUGCUGUGGUGGUGGAAAAGGUUCUGUGAGGAAAUCAUUCAAGUCUAAUGACACUGUGUCCUAAAGGAGAAACACUGGAUUGGUGGAUUGGAUGACUGAAGGAGCCAGGCAGCAGUUGAAAGCUUUCCACCUCAGUGCCUAAUUCAAGUACUCCUCUGAAAGCUAUUGCUCCUGGCAGGCUUUGCAGUAUCCUAUAGGAAAUGGAUCUGGGACUUUCAUUCAGUACCUGAUGAGAAAGUGCCUGGGCAAGUCCAUACCAUGUCAGUGAGAUGAAAUGAUCUCCUCUAAUUGCAGCUGAAAUCAUGGACAGGUGAAAAGGAUCUGAUAGCAGACCACAGACAGAGACAUCUGGUUUUGGAUGCAGGUUCACGGGAGGUAAUCAUUCAGGAAAGAAGCUAUCAAUAAUAUUUAUGAAAAAUGGAUCCUAAUGGUUGUCAGAUGCCAUUUUAUAACAUGAGCAGGUAUAAAUGAAAGUGCAUACUGUGCAGGCUUCUUGAAGAAGAUUUAUUGCCAAAAUACCACUGUAGUCUGGAUUUUGCAGCUUGUGUCUGCCUUGUGGAACCAGGGAGGACUUCCCAGGCAUGGUCUGACUCCAUGCUGGAACAAAGUCAAGUCUAACAAGUCAGAUUCUCUUGAGAGCAGGUUGAACGCUCUUUUUGGAAAUAUCCUGGUCUAAAGUUAAGGCUUGCAGUAUAGAAGAAGCUGAAAAUGGACAUGAGAGAGAACAAGAGGAAAUGCAGUAUGGUACUUUCAAAACUAAUCAGUCCGGAGAAUUAUUGUAAACCUAGAUCUUUACAGGGAGGAAACUGCACAGAAGGCACUAAUGACUGAAAUGACCAAGAGAUGACAGUGUAUAUAAAAAUGAGGUAAAUAGUAAUAAUGCAGUAC